rnacentral:rRNA from 1 species
AACGAACGCUGGCGGCGUGGAUAAGACAUGCAAGUCGAGCGCUGAUUAGAGGGUAGCAAUAUUCUUUAGUUGGAGCGGCGCAAGGGUGCGUAACACGUGGGUAAUCUGCCGUGAAGUUUGGGAUAACUUGCUGAAAGGCGAGCUAAUACCGGAUGUGACAAUUGGAAGGCAUCUUUGAUGUCAAAGUUGGGCCGCAAGGCCUGACGCUUCAUGANGAACCCGCGGCCUAUCAGCUAGUUGGUGAGGUAAAGG